UAGGGAAUAUUAGAAAUGGACGAAAGUCUGAUCUAGCAACACCGCGUGUGCGAAGAAGGCCUUCGGGUCGUAAAGCACUUUUUGGAAGGAUUAGGAAGGAAUGUACUUCCAGAAUAAGUCUCGGCUAACUACGUGCCAGCAGCUGCGGUAACACGUAGGAGGCAAACGUUAUCCGGAUUUACUGGGCGUAAAGCGCGUGUAGGUGGUUCUGUAAGUAGGGCGUGAAAGCUCCUGGCUCAACUGGGAGAGGCCGUUCUAAACUGCAGAGCUAGAGGAUGGUAGAGGGAUGUGGCAUUCCGGGUGUAGCGGUGGAAUGCGCAGAUAUCCGGAGGAACACCAGUGGCGAAAGCGACCUCCUGGACCACUCCUGACACUCAGGCGCGAAAGCUAGGGUAGCAAACG
rnacentral:rRNA from 1 species